rnacentral:rRNA from 1 species
UACGUAGGGGUCGAGCGUUGUCCGGAGUUACUGGGCGUAAAGCGUGUGCAGGCGGCUCAUUGCGCCCGGCGUGAAAGCCCCCGGCUCAACCGGGGAGAGUCGUCGGGGACGGGUGAGCUUGAGGGUAUCAGGGGCUGGUGGAAUUCCCGGUGUAGUGGUGAAAUGCGCAGAUAUCAGGAGGAACACCGGUGGCGAAGGCGGCUUGCUGGGCCUUACCUGACGCUGAGGAGCGAAAGCGUGGGGAGCGAACAGG